rnacentral:rRNA from 1 species
CCUACGGGAGGCAGCAGUGGGGAAUAUUGCACAAUGGGGGAAACCCUGAUGCAGCGACGCCGCGUGAGUGAAGAAGUAAUUCGUUAUGUAAAGCUCUAUCAGCAGGGAAGAAAAUGACGGUACCUGAGGAAGAAGCCCCGGCUAACUACGGGCCAGCAGCCGCGGUAAGACGUAGGGGGCAAGCGUGAUCCGGAUUUACUGGGUGUAACGGGAGCGUAGACGGCAGGGCCAGUCUGUAGUGAAAGGCGGGGGCUCAACCCCCGGACUGCUCUGGAAACUGUUAGGCGGGAUUGCAGGAGAUUGAACUGGCAUUCCUAGUGUAGCGGUGAAAUGCGUCGAUAUUAGGAGGAACACCAGUGGCGCUGGCGGCUUACUGGACUGUAACUGACGUUGAGGCUCUACAGCGUGGGGAGCAAACAGGAUUAGAUACCCGGGUAGUC